AUGAACGUUGGCGGCGUGGAUUAGGCAUGCAAGUCGAGCGAGAACCGUAGCAAUACGGGGACAGCGGCGAAAGGGAGAGGAAUACGUGGAUACCUACCCCCAGGUUCAGGAUAGCCGUGGGAAACUACGGGUAAUACUGAAUAACAUCUCCGGAUCAAAGGUGUGAUUCCGCCCGGGGAGGGGUCCGCGUCCUAUUAGCUUGUUGGUGGGGUAACGGCUCACCAAGGCGAAGAUGGGUACGGGAUGUGAGAGCAUGAUCCCGCUCAUUGGGACUGAGACACUGCCCAGACACCUACGGGUGGCUGCAGUCGAGAAUCUUCGGCAAUGGGGGAAACCCUGACCGAGCGACGCCGCGUGCGAGAUGAAGGCCUUCGGGUUGUAAAUCGCUGUCAGAGGGGAGGAAAUGCCGGUGGGUUCUCCCAUCGGUUUGACCUAUCCUCAGAGGAAGGACGGGCUAAGUUCGU
rnacentral:rRNA from 1 species